rnacentral:rRNA from 1 species
UACGGAGGAUGCGAGCGUUAUCCGGAUUUAUUGGGUUUAAAGGGUGCGCAGGCGGCCUGUUAAGUCAGCGGUAAAAGCCCGGGGCUCAACGGGGUGAAGUGCCAUUGAUACUGCCUUGCUGGAAUGCGGAUGCCGUGGGAGGAAUGUGUGGUGUAGCGGUGAAAUGCAUAGAUAUCACACAGAACACCGAUUGCGAAGGCAUCUCACGAAUCCGCUAUUGACGCUGAUGCACGAAAGCGUGGGUAUCAAACAGG